rnacentral:lncRNA from 1 species
CUUAACAUGACUGAAGGCUGAAGUCUUUGAGCAGGAGAAACACACAAGGAGAGUGUGCGCAUUUUAGUAUGAUUAAGGUCAUAAACUGAAACUGAGUAAAUUCAAAGAUUUUCUGUCUGCGUUUGGAGUCAUGCUUAAACAGGAAGAGGUGGGAACCAAAGCAGAGGAGAGACUGCAUCUGCACCAAGGCUCCAAAACAUAGACCUGUCUGACCCAGUUUGAAACUAGCAUGGGCUCCUUCAGUUUGGAGGUUAUCCAGAAAACAUCAAAGAAUAACACACACCCUGUGAAACAGCCACAAGAAUGGAUGAUGUGGUUCAUUGGGUAUGAUGCACCCAAGGACCUCACUCCUGUGAUGGAUGCCAUUCCUGCCUCAGAAAACUAUGUGAUCAGUUUGUCAAGGCAACUGUGGUCAUACUAUAACCACUUCAGACAGAAGAUUCAGGAUCUGAAAGAUAAGUUUCUGCAAGUUUCAUGAAAACUAGUGACUUUGCUGAAGCAAGAGGUUGUGACUUGUCCUCAGUGCAAAAAUUGCCAGGUAAGAGGAUAUAUUCUGUUUGGCCUGCCACUUGAAUGUUGAACAUGAACCUGUUUGCUAGUUGGCAUAUGUACAUAGCUUUAAAAUACCUACAGCCAAUGCUACAUCAUGCCAGCUUGCAGCCAGGGAAAGGAAGCAUGGGAUAUGAAGGGAAGGUGGAGAGGGACUAGGAAGAAGCAUGGGGUACAUUGGAGCUAUUACUGUCAUGGCUGAGGAAUGGGUGGACUUAACAGGUCCAUUGGAUAUGAAGGGAAAUUAACAGCAUUGACUCUGAUAAAUGGGAUUUUUGCUGUCAGUAGUGUGUAAAUCCACAGGAAAGGUGGCACCAUUUAUUCUACUUGUCUUGGAACAACCUGUUUGUUACCAUUAAAAGAUUGGACCUUUUUGUUUCAUAACUGAGCAGAACGCUUCUGGGCAUCUGAGCUGGCCUAGCUGUUACAAGCUGCCUUAGCCUGCCUCUAAAUUUGCAGUCUGGUGGAUUCUUCUUUAUCCAGCCUAAUUCCAGUUUCAGUUUCUCUGCUGAGUUUGCCUAGAAAGUCUACUGUUUUCCUGCCAGGUCUGAAGGUAAGAAUAAGCUUGCCACAGGGAAAUUUUUGUUUGAAAUAGAAACACAAGAAAUUUUUACCAAGAUGGGGCAUGGUAAAUAGACAGGAC